GACGUAGGGCGCGAGCGUUGUCCGGAUUUAUUGGGCGUAAAGAGCGUGUAGGCGGCCAGAUAGGUCCGUUGUGAAAACUCGAGGCUCAACCUCGAGACGCCGAUGGAAACCAUUUGGCUAGAGUCCGGAAGAGGAGAGUGGAAUUCCUGGUGUAGCGGUGAAAUGCGCAGAUAUCAGGAGGAACACCGAUGGCGAAGGCAGGUCUCUGGGCCGCAACUGACGCUGAGGAGCGAAAGCAUGGGGAGCGAACAGG
rnacentral:rRNA from 1 species